UGCCCGAUCGUCUAAUUGGUAGGACAGCGGACUCUGACUCCGUAAGUCUAGGUUCGAGUCCUAGUCGGGCAGCCA
rnacentral:tRNA from 1 species